rnacentral:rRNA from 1 species
CACGUAGGGCGCGAGCGUUGUCCGGAAUUAUUGGGCGUAAAGCGCUCGUAGGCGGCCUGUUGCGUCCGCUGUGAAAGCCCGGGGCUUAACCCCGGGUCUGCAGUGGAUACGGGCAGGCUAGAGGUAGGUAGGGGAGAAUGGAAUUCCCGGUGUAGCGGUGAAAUGCGCAGAUAUCGGGAGGAACACCGGUGGCGAAGGCGGUUCUCUGGGCCUUACCUGACGCUGAGGAGCGAAAGCGUGGGGAGCGAACAGG